rnacentral:rRNA from 1 species
GACGAACGCUGGCGGCGUGCCUAAUGCAUGCAAGUCGAACGCGGGGAGCUUGCUCCGCCGCGUGGCGCACGGCUGAGGAACACGUGGGUACCAACCCCGGAGUGGGGGAUACCCCAUCGA